rnacentral:rRNA from 1 species
UACAGAGGUCUCAAGCGUUGUUCGGAUUCAUUGGGCGUAAAGGGCGCGUAGGCGGCGAGGUAAGUCGGGUGUGAAAUCUCAGAGCUCAACUCUGAAACUGCACUCGAUACUGCUUUGCUAGAGGACUGGAGAGGAGAUUGGAAUUCACGGUGUAGCAGUGAAAUGCGUAGAGAUCGUGAGGAGGACCAGUGGCGAAGGCGGAUCUCUGGACAGUUCCUGACGCUGAGGCGCGAAGGCCAGGGGAGCAAACGGG